rnacentral:rRNA from 1 species
GAUGAACGCUAGCUACAGGCUUAACACAUGCAAGUCGAGGGACCGGCGCACGGGUGAGUAACGCGUAUCCAACCUUCCCAUUACUGUGGGAUAACCUGCCGAAAGGCAGACUAAUACCGCAUAGUAAUGGAUGGGGUGGCGUCUGAUUAGCUUGGUGGCGGGGUAACGGCCCACCAAGGCGACGAUCAGUAGGGGUUCUGAGAGGAAGGACCCCCACAUUGGAACUGAGACACGGCCCAAACUGCUACCGGAGGCAGCAGUGAGGAAGAUUGGUCAAUGGGCGUUAGCCUGAACCAGCCAAGUAGCGUGAAGGAUGAAGGCUUAUGGGUCGUAAACUUCUUUUAUAUAAGAAUAUGUAUUAUAUGAAUAAGGAUCGGCUAACUCCGUGCCAGCAGCCGCGGUAAUAC